AUGAACGCUGGCGGCGUGCCUAAUACAUGCAAGUCGAGCGAACAGAUGAGGAGCUUGCUCCUCUGACGUUAGCGGCGGACGGGUGAGUAACACGUGGAUAACCUACCUAUAAGACUGGGAUAACUUCGGGAAACCGGAGCUAAUACCGGAUAAUAUAUUGAACCGCAUGGUUCAAUAGUGAAAGACGGUUUUGCUGUCACUUAUAGAUGGAUCCUCGCCGCAUUAGCUAGUUGGUAAGGUAACGGCUUACCAAGGCGACGAUGCGUAGCCGACCUGAGAGGGUGAUCGGCCACACUGGAACUGCGACACGGUCCAGACUCCUACGGGAGGCAGCAGUAGGGAAUCUUCCGCAAUGGGCGAAAGCCUGACGGAGCAACGCCGCGUGAGUGAUGAAGGUCUUCGGAUCGUAAAACUCUGUUAUUAGGGAAGAACAAAUGUGUAAGUAACUAUGCACGUCUUGACGGUACCUAAUCAGAAAGCCACGGCUAACUACGUG
rnacentral:rRNA from 1 species